CCUACGGGGGGCAGCAGUGGGGAAUAUUGGACAAUGGGGGAAACCCUGAUCCAGCGACGCCGCGUGAGUGAAGAAGUAUUUCGGUACGUAAAGCUCUAUUAGCAGGAAAGAAAAUGACGGUACCUGACUAAGAAGCCCCGGCUAACUACGUGCCAGCAGCCGCCGUAAUACGGAGGGGGCAAGGGUUAUCCGGAUUGGAUGGGUGUAAAGGGAGCGUAGAGGGCAGCGCAAGUCUGGAGUGAAAGGCCGGGGGCCAACCCCGGAACUGCUCUGGAAACUGUGAAGCUUGAGUGCAGGAGAGGUAAGCGGAAUUCCUGGUGUAGCGGUGAAAUGCGUAGAUAUCAGGAGGAACACCGGCGGCGAAGGCGGCUUACUGGACUGUAACUGACGUUGAGGCUCGAAGGCGUGGGGAGCAAACAGGAUUAGAUACCCUUGUAGUC
rnacentral:rRNA from 1 species